rnacentral:misc_RNA from 1 species
CAGCCGCGUAAUUCCAGCUCCAAUAGCGUAUAUUAAAGUUGUUGCAGUUAAAAAGCUCGUAGUUGAAUUUCGGGGUUAGUAGGUUGGUCAUGCCUCUGGUAUGUACUGAUCUCACUGAUUCCUCCUUCCUUAUGAACCGUAAUGCCAUUAAUUUGGUGUUGCGGGGAAUUUGGACUGUUACUUUGAAAAAAUUAGAGUGUUUAAAGCAGGCUAACGCUUGAAUACAUUAGCAUGGAAUAAUGAAAUAGGACGUUCGAUCUUAUUUUGUUGGUUUCUAGGAUUGACGUAAUGAUUAAUAGGGAUAGUUGGGGGCAUUAGUAUUCAAUUGUCAGAGGUGAAAUUCUUGGAUUUAUUGAAGACUAACUACUGCGAAAGCAUUUGCCAAGGAUGUUUUCAUUAAUCAAGAACGAAAGUUAGGGGAUCGAAGACGAUCAGAUACCGUCGUAGUCUUAACCAUAAACUAUGCCGACUAGGGAUCGGAUGAUGUUAAUUUUUUAAUGACUCAUUCGGCGCCUUACG